GUGUCAGCCGCCGCGGUAAGACGAAGGUGGCGAGCGUUGUUCGGAAUCACUGGGCAUAAAGCGCACGUAGGCGGCGGCGUAAGUCGGGUGUGAAAUCCCUCGGCCCAACCGAGGAACUGCGCCCGAUACUGCGUUGCUUGAGGAUCAGAGGGGUGCACGGAAUUUCCGGUGGAGCGGUGAAAUGCGUUGAUAUCGGAAGGAACGUCGGCGGCGAAAGCGGUGCACUGGCUGAUUUCUGACGCUGAGGUGCGAAAGCCAGGGGAGCAAACGGGAUUAGAUACCCUUGUAGUCC
rnacentral:rRNA from 1 species